AUGAACGCUAGCUACAGGCUUAACACAUGCAAGUCGAGGGGCAGCAUGGACUUAGCUUGCUAAGUUUGAUGGCGACCGGCGCACGGGUGAGUAACACGUAUCCAACCUGCCGAUGACUCGGGGAUAGCCUUUCGAAAGAAAGAUUAAUACCCGAUGGCAUAGUUCUUCCGCAUGGUAGAACUAUUAAAGAAUUUCGGUCAUCGAUGGGGAUGCGUUCCAUUAGGUUGUUGGCGGGGUAACGGCCCACCAAGCCUUCGAUGGAUAGGGGUUCUGAGAGGAAGGUCCCCCACAUUGGAACUGAGACACGGUCCAAACUCCUACGGGAGGCAGCAGUGAGGAAUAUUGGUCAAUGGACGAGAGUCUGAACCAGCCAAGUAGCGUGAAGGAUGACUGCCCUAUGGGUUGUAAACUUCUUUUAUACGGGAAUAAAGUGAGGCACGUGUGCCUUUUUGUAUGUACCGUAUGAAUAAGGAUCGGCUAACUCCGUGCCAGCAGCCGCGGUAAUACGGAGGAUCCGAGCGUUAUCCGGAUUUAUUGGGUUUAAAGGGAGCGUAGGCGGACGCUUAAGUCAGUUGUGAAAGUUUGCGGCUCAACCGUAAAAUUGCAGUUGAUACUGGGUGUCUUGAGUACAGUAGAGGCAGGCGGAAUUCGUGGUGUAGCGGUGAAAUGCUUAGAUAUCACGAAGAACUCCGAUUGCGAAGGCAGCUUGCUGGACUGUAACUGACGCUGAUGCUCGAAAGUGUGGGUAUCAAACAGGAUUAGAUACCCUGGUAGUCCACACAGUAAACGAUGAAUACUCGCUGUUUGCGAUAUACAGUAAGCGGCCAAGCGAAAGCGUUAAGUAUUCCACCUGGGGAGUACGCCGGCAACGGUGAAACUCAAAGGAAUUGACGGGGGCCCGCACAAGCGGUGGAGUAUGUGGUUUAAUUCGAAGCAACGCGAAGAACCUUACCAGGCCUUGACAUCCCUUGCAGAGGUAUAGAGAUAUAUCCGAGGUUAUCAAGGAGACAGGUGGUGCAUGGUUGUCGUCAGCUCGUGUCGUGAGAUGUUGGGUUAAGUCCCGCAACGAGCGCAACCCUUAUCCUUUGUUGCCAGCGGUCCGGCCGGGAACUCAAAGGAGACUGCCAGUGAUAAACUGGAGGAAGGUGGGGAUGACGUCAAAUCAGCACGGCCCUUACGUCCGGGGCUACACACGUGUUACAAUGGGGGGUACAGAAGGCAGCUACACGGCGACGUGAUGCUAAUCCCGAAAGCCUCUCUCAGUUCGGAUUGGAGUCUGCAACCCGACUCCAUGAAGCUGGAUUCGCUAGUAAUCGCGCAUCAGCCACGGCGCGGUGAAUACGUUCCCGGGCCUUGUACACACCGCCCGUCACACCAUGAGAGUUGGGAAUACCCGAAGCCUGUGAGCUAACUUUUAGAGGCAGCAGUCGAAGGUAGAAUCAAUGAUUGGGGUG
rnacentral:rRNA from 1 species